GCAGCUUUUAAAAAACGUUAGCGAAGCGUCGGGUUAAUGCAGACGGCGUUUGUCUAUAUUUAUUCUUUUAUAUUUAUUAAAGUUGAAUUUAACCAGGUGUAACUGUCUCGGCAGCUGGCCCAACUUUCCCCAUAAAAUAAGCCACGCAGCUAUUGCGAACAUGUAAGCUAACGUUAGCUGGCAAGCAUAAAUUAGCUAAAUUAGUGUACCUGUUUUUCAUUUCACUGUGAGCCGAUAUUAACCUCCGCUCCUCGUUGUUGCUGUUGAGGUUUGGGAAGAGAGACACAGGAGCUGUUCGUGUGGAGACUUAUGCAGUUUCCAUUUUUCUCCCGGAAAAUCAUAAGGACCCUGGGACUUUUCCAUUUCCAGGAAAUGAUUUGGGAUCAUUUUAAGGACAAGGUUUGCUCCAGGCUUGUCAGAAAAGAAGCACGUCUCUCUGUCGGCGAGUCGCGAUGCCAAAUGCAAGAUACUGGCGAGUGUUUGCAAAUGACUGGAAGAGUCAGGAUCUGAAGGCAACCGCUGCAUCCACGGUCACAGAGAGAUUGCAGAUGAGACGCGAACAAAUCCACCAACUAAUGGCUCAAAAAAGCCCAGCCAUCAGAAACAGACACCUUGCUGCUACCGGGUUCGACCACAUUUUGUCUUUUGAAUUGCCUUAAUUCUUAAUUCCAUCAUGUAGUUGCUCCAGAUUUGACCGCUGCACAGUAAU